rnacentral:rRNA from 1 species
UCUCCUGGAAACGGGUGGUAAUGCCGGAUGUUCCACAUGAUCGCAUGUGAUUGUGGGAAAGAUUUCAUCGGCGUGGGAUGGGGUCGCGUCCUAUCAGCUUGUUGGUGAGGUAACGGCUCACCAAGGCUUCGACGGGUAGCCGGCCUGAGAGGGCGACCGGCCACAUUGGGACUGAGAUACGGCCCAGACUCCUACGGGAGGCAGCAGUGGGGAAUAUUGCACAAUGGGCGCAAGCCUGAUGCAGCGACGCCGCGUGAGGGAUGGAGGCCUUCGGGUUGUAAACCUCUUUUGUUUGGGAGCAAGCCUUCGGGUGAGUGUACCUUUCGAAUAAGCGCCGGCUAACUACGUGCCAGCAGCCGCGGUAAUACGUAGGGCGCAAGCGUUAUCCGGAUUUAUUGGGCGUAAAGGGCUCGUAGGCGGCUCGUCGCGUCCGGUGUGAAAGUCCAUCGCUUAACGGUGGAUCUGCGCCGGGUACGGGCGGGCUGGAGUGCGGUAGGGGAGACUGGAAUUCCCGGUGUAACGGUGGAAUGUGUAGAUAUCGGAAAAAAACACCA